rnacentral:snRNA from 1 species
GUUCUCACUUCAGCAGCACAUAUACUAAAAUUGGAACGAUACAGAGAAGAUUAACAUGGCCCCUGCACAAGGAUGACAGGCAAACUCAUGAAGCGUUCCAUAUCUUU